GAGGAAACCAGGCGCAGAGAGGAAAAAGGACCUGACCCAAGCAUUCUGCCUCCAAGAGUCUCUCUGUGAACCCAGCUCUCCAAGUGCUGAUUUCAUCUCUUUCCCGACAAAAGUUGGGAGCCAGGAGAAAAAUGGUUUGGCAGAAAAUCAACAUGCGGAGGGAGGAAGAGGCAACACGGAGAAAGCAGAGGCCAUGCAGGAUCUGAGAUGGGGUCUGAGCAGGAUGGCUGGAGCCAGGUGCUGAAGACCCCAAGAGGCAAGAAGCCCCCAUGGUCCAGGCAGAUCCUCCUGUGGCUUUGGGUGUGCCCUGGGUGAAGCCAACGCUCUGCGCAUGCUGCAAGCCUGAGACUGGAGCCCAGAGGACACAGAGCCUCAGUAGGUCUGUGGGGCCCUGAGUCCAGGAUCAAGUCCAAGUUGUGUAGGCUCACACCCUGUCCUUUGACUAUGAUGAUGAUCUUGACCCUGGUCAUCACAGCAAGCAGGAAGAACUGGCAAUUCAGCAUCUGUCUUCAUCGGGAGUAGCAUCAGGAGGGCAUGAGAGGCCUCCAGUGCCCUCUGCGACACCUCGGGUGGUGUCGUGAGAUUUACUCCCAUUAUCCAAAGGAGGAAACCGAGGCUCCGUGAAUUCCUCUGCUCUGCCUGAGCUUCACAGUGAACAGUGGCCGAGUCAGGAUUUGAGCCCAAGUCCACUGAAUCCUGGGAUCCCUGGACACUGGGUGUUGUGCCGUGUCCCUAGAAGUCUGUGACGUUACCCUGAACUCUCUCCCACAUGCUCUGUUGCAGUUCCCGGGUGACUUUGAGAAUAACUGGGAUCCAGUUGCUGGGAUACCCUGGAGAGGAGAGGUCAGCGUGGGAAGCCCGGCUCUCUGGUCCUGUGACGAGAGACUCGUGAUCAUUCACAUCUCCAGCCCCGACCCUCCUCCCUACUGCCCACGAGCCUGAUGUUAAAAAUAACAAAGAAUGAACUGGAGCUCUGCAGUCAAAAGGACGGCAUGUGUUUUUCAUUUUCUUCUUUCUCUUCUCCAAUUCUCUAGAAGCAGAUUAAAUAUGAAAAAGUACUUCCUGACUGAAGGGUUGGGAGUCACUGGGAGGGUGGUUCAACAGAGAGAU